GGUGGCGGCAGCGGCACCGACGGCGAGACGCGAGUUGGUGCGUGUAGUGGCUACGGCGCGGCUGACAGUGCCUGGGCUCCUCUCCUCUCCGUGUCUUCUCGGAUCGGACGUUUCGGCUCGCACCCCCCCAGCUCCGACCGUCCCGUCCCGCGCACACGAACGACGCUGUCCAGGCCUGCUGCUGCUGCUGCCUUGACUGGACUCGUUUUCUCUGCGCAUUUUCUCUGCAAUUUCUUGCGUCUCCGGACGUGCAACGCGGGCUUUUUCUGCAGACUGCCCUGUUUUGCUAACGGAGAUAAGAAGUUAUCAAAUUGCCAAUUCACUCCGGCAAGCUCGCUGCCCGCGAGUGUUCGGGAACAACUUGAGACGCCCAGUGCUUAGUUAGGUUCUUGUACUUACUUUUUUGCCCUUUGGUUUGCUGACUUGCUUCGCGCUCGACUCUCUCAGCGACGAUGCGACGCGUGGGAAAUUGUGUGUGCUACGGUUCGGCGGUCGCCUGCCUGCUCCUUGGGAUCUUACUCGGAGACUCUUCAGUACAAGCCCAAGACCAGGAAACGGAAGUGCCUCAAGACCGGAAAGUGGAGUUUUUGACAAAAGAACAGACAUUCUUCCUGAGCCUUGGUGACUCUGUGUCUCUCCCGUGCAAGAUCGUCCAGUCAAGCGAGGAUGAGUUCAUCAAGGUGUGGAUCAAGAACAGGGAUAUCCUGUUCGCUGGGACUUUUCGUGUGGACACGGACCCGAGGGUCAGCCUGGGUCCCGAGGGCGAGCUCAAGAUUGACGGCCUGGUGGCCUCGGACGACGCCGUCUACACCUGCAAGGUCAACAGCCAAAUCGAGCCAAACUCCAUCCAGCACAAGAUCGUCCUUCCAGGACCCCCCAAGGUGUCGACAAUUCCCGAAAGCGGCGAGGUGACAGUAAUGAAAGGGGAGCCCCUGUAUAUAGGCUGCGUGGCGAGCGGAAAGCCCGACUCCACCAUCACGUGGCGACACAUGGAUCAUAUCAGCACCUCAAAUGUGGCACGGUCGUCGAGGUCCAACGACUCUUCCAUUGACGUCAGCAAGCUGGUUCAAGACAACCGCAUCGACAUCGAAGCUGCCGAUUCGAAGUACUCCGGAACUUACGAGUGCACCGCCUCUAACGGCUACGGCAAGCCCGUCGUGGCUUACAUCACCGUGAAAGUUCUCGGCAAACCGACGGUGAAGACGUCGCUGCAGUGGUCGUCGGGCGUGGGCGGCAGCCUGAACGCCGAGCUGCUGUGUGUGACGCACUCGGACGUGCCCGGCACGACGCGCUGGCUGCGCAACGACGGCACGUGGCUGAUGCACGGCGAGUCCGUGUCCCUCUACACGGCUGGCAACCACUAUACGGCCCGCUUCAAGCACGUCACCGAGCGAGACUACGGGAACUACACGUGCGAGUCCAAGAACAAGUUCGGCGUCACCGCGGACACCGUCGAGCUUCAAGCUGCACCGACCAGGCCUGUCGUGAUGGGCGUUGAGGGACCCAACUCGACAGCCUACCUCAUCUCGCUUUCCUCGGUGGCUCCGUAUCCCAUCAACAAGUACAUCAUCUACAUCCGGGCGGAAAAGCACGCCCAAGACAUUGACGAAUGGCGGAACAUCACCAUUCCGAGAAGCCACAGCCACGACAUGCAGAAGAUGGGAUCAAAGGCCGCCACGAACUAUCUGAUAACCAACCUCGAGCCCGAGACUCGAUACCAGGCGCUCGCUGUCGCCACCAACGAAAUGGGCACAAGCGGUCUCACCAGCUUCGACUUCAUGACGGCAUUCGCCCUCCCUAAACAGCCGUUGAGUACCAAAGCCAGCGAGGAAGUUGAAACUCAUCUACAAGCUAAUGACCCUGACGCCUUACAAGAACAGAUCAAGGAUAGCGGAAACGGAAACUCUGGCACCCGGGCCACGCUCUUCAGUGCGCACAUGGUCGGAUGCGUCACGGUGGCGCUGCUUUCGAUUUUUUUCUGCUGAACACGUCGAUCGCCAUGAGCCGGAUAGUUUUUCUUUUGCCGCCCGUGGAAUACGUCUGACACACCGAGAACGCCGCCGACCAACGAACUUUCUUCUUGACGCGGCGAAGCACCUGCAUUCGCCGUCUUAUUUUGUUCGUCUCCCUUGCGAUGAACAAUGUCCAUCAUCGAUGGUUAUGAUAAUUAUAAUAAUUAUUAUGUUCAUUUCACUUUCCCCUUCUCACCCUCUCAAAGGUCCACGCGUAAGUUGGGAGCGCUUCCUCUGUUGUUCGCGGUGCUUUUUUUUUUUUUUCUUGUUUUCGUGCGAGAGAUUUCGUACGCUUCACUCGCCUUUUCACGUGAUCCGCCUGGUGUACACUACGCAGUGCAUGAUACGAGAAAACGCAAGCGAAAAAAAAAAAUCGCGCAAAUGACGGGUGUUCGCGUUUUCUCCAAUCGUCCCGUGUUGUGUUCUCUGAGCAGCACACGUGAAAAGCCAUUAUGCGGCACCUCUCUCACAUAGACCCUCGGUUUACGCUUCACGUCUCACUCGCGUUUCGAGCAGCUAUAAGCACCCUCCCCACCAAAAGUCCUAACGAACUUGUUAACAACCUUCACUCUAUGACGCUUCAUAGGAUAUAGUAUACACUCGGAACUCUCAUUUCUAAGAUUUCCCUCUUAGCAGUUUUUUCUCCAAGGAGUGUAGGUGUGUAGUGGCGAAAGCAUCUGAGAAGUCGAGGUGCGGUACGACUCACAAAUUCGCGUCAGCGUUAGCGUGGCUAUUCAUGCUCGAAGUCUUUUUUUUUCUCCCAAUUUUCGCAUAGUGAUGUAACGAAGGCUCCGCUCUAAGCGCAGCCACGUCAAGGCUUCAUUUCUUAUUUUUCACCUGCAGCGCUUGUUUCAUGUACUGCCAUCCAAUGCAUAGAAACCUUUUUAAGACUUCUAGCUAUUCACGCUCUUGCUGGCCUUGAGCGAACCGUUAACACUUAUAUGACAAUGAAAGGGUCCUGUCCUGCGUUCCUACACGUCAUCCUCAGUUCUUCUGAUGAAGUUACAAAACUGUCCUGUAACCAAUGGCUCAAGCUUUAAUAAGAGUAGCGGAUUUGCCAUCUUAAGUCAAUUGGUACUAAGUAUUUUAUGUGUUAACACCUAAAUUAUUCUGCAGUAAAGCGGCUCUUGCGCUUAAAUAUGGCACAUAAAAGAUCGUUAUCACUCUAGCCAGUACUCUUCGCCGUCUUUCAUGAUAACUAUCUUUUCUGGCGGCAACUUAGGAACUAUCACAGUUAUCGCCUUACUGUACAAUACUACGCUAUCAAGCAUCACUGGCAUAAUUCGUUUGUGUGCCCUCGCGUAACGUGUCGUGUUCUGUCAAACUGAUGGCCACAAAAUGGGCGAUGUUUUUUUUCUGUCAACCUGUUAAGUUUUCCUCCGUCUCAUUUUUUUUUUCAACUCGUGUGAAAUGCAACGUCUUGUCAUGCUCGUUUUGUAUAGCUUGUUCUAUGGAGGCUGUAAAAAAAAGAAAGCAUAUAUGUAGCGCCACUUUAUUGAUUAAUUUUUUUUCUUUUGUAUCCAUUAACUUCAUCGUCAAAAGUGUCAGCUUCUGUGUUCCUCGACUGAAAAAAAAAGAUAUACAUAUAAAUAUAGAGUGUUUGCUUUCUUUUUUUUUUUUUCUUUCAUGUGACUGGAAAGUAUUGCGUUGGAUAGGAGAACGAAUGGAAAAGAAAAAUAAAAGCGUACGGACGUGGCUUUGUCGCAGCUAAUUACUCAGCAGUGGUGUUUUGCACGUUGUCUUUCUCGUUACGUACAGGCUAGCUUUCUCUUUCUUUUUGGACAGGCGUGCACCUCACAGCUUUCCACUGCUCAAAAUAUUACAAGUCGCUGAAUAAGGAAAUUAGGCUGGAACCAUUUAUACUACGGCGACAGUCACUGCUUCAAACGAGAUGGAGCAGUGGUUGAAAGAAGCUUUUUGGAUGCGCGAACUUAGGAGAAACAAGAGUAAAUGUGCGAGUUUUGUUGCUGACCGCACGCUCCUCAGAUGAAAACGUGCUCACAAAAGAGUAAUUUACGCUUUCCCGACGCUCUUUCUUUUUUUUCUGUUAGCGUAAGGACGUCCGAGAAUAUUGGGCCUACUAUACCUUUCAAAAGUCCUUCGCGUAAAUUCGCAUCUUUUCGCUGACAUCAUAGGCACGUUUUCUGUAAUUAAUUUAACACCUGUGCCAUGCGGUGCACAUUUAAAUGGAACGUGCGAGUAUGUGUGGGACACUUUGUGGUUUUGUGCGAGCGUCAUGGCGCCUGCCACCGCCCUGUUUCACAGUGAUACAUCCGUCUACUGGUGGAAGCAGCCUAGAGGCAUGUUGCAGGCUCGAAUAUGAACACCCACUUCGAAUUCACCUACUGAAAAGCCGAGUGCUUCCAUGCCUGCCACAAUGUGGAAUCUCCCGCUCUGUACUUUCUUGUAAUGUUAACUUUAAGGAAGGAGCAUAACGUAUUUUUAAGCAAGGGUACAUAUUGUGAGUCUUCAUACAGCGGCGUUGAGAUUCUUGUAGCGAAAGUCUUCGGUGAGACACGUAAGUUACUAGUGCCCG
rnacentral:misc_RNA from 1 species